rnacentral:rRNA from 1 species
UACGUAGGGUGCAAGCGUUAAUCGGAAUUACUGGGCGUAAAGCGUGCGCAGGCGGUUUUGUAAGUCUGUCGUGAAAUCCCCGGGCUCAACCUGGGAAUGGCGAUGGAGACUGCAAGGCUAGAAUCUGGCAGAGGGGGGUAGAAUUCCACGUGUAGCAGUGAAAUGCGUAGAUAUGUGGAGGAACACCGAUGGCGAAGGCAGCCCCCUGGGCUAAGAUUGACGCUCAUGCACGAAAGCGUGGGGAGCGAACAGG